rnacentral:rRNA from 1 species
GAUGAACGCUGGCGGCGUGCCUAAUACAUGCAAGUCGAGCGAACGGACGAGAAGCUUGCUUCUCUGAUGUUAGCGGCGGACGGGUGAGUAACACGUGGAUAACCUACCUAUAAGACUGGGAUAACUUCGGGAAACCGGAGCUAAUACCGGAUAAUUUUUUGAACCGCUUUGUUCAAACGUGAAAGUCGGUCUUUCUGUCACUUAUCGAUGGAUCCGCGCUGUAUUAGCUAGUUGGUAAGGUAACGGCUUACCAAGGCAACGAUGCAUAGCCGACCUGAGAGAGUGAUCGCCCACACUGGAACUGAGACACGGUCCAGACGCCUACGGGAGGCAGCAGUAGGGAAUCUUCCGCAAAGGGCGAAAGCCUGACGGAGCAACGCGGCGUGAGGGAUGAAGGUCUUCGGAUCGUAAAACUCUGUUAUUAGGAAAGAACAUAUGUGUAAGUAACUGUGCACAUCUUGACGGUACCUAAUCAAAAAGCCACGGCUAACUACGUG